GCCCGGGUGGUGAAACUGGUAGACACAGGGGACUUAAAAUCCCCCAUCCGAAAGGGUAUGCGGGUUCGAUCCCCGCCCCGGGCA
rnacentral:tRNA from 1 species